CGACAACAUACAUUUCAUAUGCAUAUAAAAAUCGAUAUAUUAUAACAUGUUUAUAUUUUUGUGCCUAAAAAAAAUUCAAUUAUUGUUAUGACUGUAUAUGUAAAUUGUUGUAUUAUAUCCAUAUUUUAUAAAAAAUUCAUAUAUUAUUAUAUGUUAAAUUUUUUGAUUCGCCCUAAUAUGACUAAAAAAUCAAAUAUUGUUAUUAGUGCUUCUUUAUCUUAUUAUCAAAUAAUAUAUAUUCAAACAUUUUAAAUUGAUAAAGGGGAAAUAAUUUAAUUUACGGGUACACAAAACAGGUAAGAGUAAUAAAAGACCCAUUAAACCACUAUGUCAUAAAAGACUACCGUAGCUAUUACCAAGCUCUAAACCCUGUUUGCAUGCGACGGUGUGCUUAGAAGCUGAAUCGUGUUCUCCAGACUGCAGCAUCCCAUUGUUAUUGUUUUUAACUAAACUUUUCGACCACCAAGAUGAAGGUACACCACCUCAUUGCUGCUUCGUUGUUUCAAUUGAUCGCUUUCAAUUGAACUGUAUACAAUUGCUUACAUUAGUUCACAGUGUUGUCGAUGUUUUGCCUUUUCUAAUUUGUUGGAUUGAAUUUGUCUAUUAACCUCUGUCUUCACUCUGAUUACGAAUCAUUCCAUGUUCUUCUGUUUACCUAAAUUAGUUGUUGUGUGGAUACUUGGCAGAAGUGAUAUGUCAACAAGAGAUCACAUGCACUCUUGUAUUGUAUACAUUAUAUAUCUGUGUGUUUCCCUGUUUGAUUAAGUUUAUAAUAUUCGAAAUCAGGACAAAGUUGUGUAAUAAGGGUAUGUUUUGAUCCCUGUUGUGUUGGUGAAAAUUCCAUGCUGAUCAUGUCUUAGUGUGUACCUGUUUUCAAUGUCUAUGUAAUUUAGGGAAAUUGGAUAAGAAAUGUAGCUUUCUCGCCGCAAACAUAGAAUGCGACAUCUUUGGGGCAGUGAGGGUUCCAGCAGCUUUCCAUGAGAGAUGUGGUGAUUGUCUUCCUAGUCAGCAAGGAAGAAGAUGUAAAAAAUAUCUGUGGCAUGCAAAAUAUUAUAAAGAAGUGAGGAAAAUUUACGAUAUUGGUAAAUUCAUGAGAUAUUAUGGUCUGACGGUGUACAAUGUUGCCUUGUUUGAGUACUACGGAGAUGGUUUGUUUGAGGUUAAGCUUUUUAGGGACACUGAAUAACAGGAAUUAGAUCGUUCCUGGGAGAAGUUUUAUAACAAAUGGGAUGAUGACAGCAAAGUUGUCCUCAGGUUAGAAAGGACGUACUGGGAAGUCCAAGUCAGUUGGCAGAACAAUAGGUGUUCGUUUGGCAGAGGCUGGGCAGAUUUUGCAAAGGAAUCAGGGCUUGAAGCGGGAGAUAAUCUGCUACUUUUCAACACAACACAGACGAAGAAAAUAUCUUAAAUAUCUACAUCUUCAAAGCUGAGGCCUGGUCUGAUGCGUGUGUUCAGGGGACAUCCAAUGCUGAACAUUCGUUCUACAAAAUGGUGUAUCCACAUGCUGAAAAGGAAGGACACUUUGUGAGUUCAUCUGCAUAAUAAAGUGUGUAAUAUUUUCGCAAUUGUAAUAUACCCCAUUCUCCUUAAUUUUGAUCAAAUUCACAGGUUCUUCCAAGACUGUUUAGCAAGAAAUAUUGCAGUAGGUUGUGUAGAAUUAAGCAACUUGAUGUUGAUGAUAGAAGCUCGUACAUUUUUUAUAAUGUGCCAAAUGGUUAUAUCUACAACCUCGAGGAUAUGCUAAAGCAUUUCAAGGACAUCGAGAAGGAGGCGAUUGUUUUUUCCUUGAACAUCAGUAUUGUCAUGACUGCUAGAAUCUUUCAGAAAGAUGGCAUGGAGAUAGCCUACAAAAGAAGAAUCUGAAGCGCCAAGUACCUUGGAGAUGAACAUUGGUUCCUCAAGCCUGAUCUGAGAAGUGAUUAUGAUGAGGACAGCGAACACAGCUCGGAAUCCUCUGGCGGAAAUGCUGGUGUUGACGAUGAAAUGGCAGAGAAUGAUCUGCAGUUCACCAUCACAGUCUCUACUCUGCUCGUUGAUAAGAAAACACAUGGCGCGGUAAUUUAUUCCAGUUGCCAUCUAUCCUCCAAACCGUGAAUGGAACAAAGGCGAUGAACUUGAGCUCAGAUGAGAGAAGGGUUCUUGGAGAUUAGGCAUGGUGCUGCACGGCAAUCGUGCACGACUGUCUGCUGGCUGGAAUAAAUUUUUAAGGGAUAAUGAAUACAAAGUUGAUGAUGUUCUAAACUGGCAGCUGAUGGAAGAAAACGGGAUUGAUGUGUUUCUUGUGACCAAAGUAGCUCCACUCUAGGUUUAAGAAAACUUGCAGCAACAGUUUAAUUCCUAUCAGACUUGUAUUUUUGAUCAUGGUUUGAUCGUAUGCCUUUAACUUUGUUUGGUUGGAGAUCUGGAUAAUGUGCACUUUUGCACAUUUGAUAAACUUGACAAUGUUGGUUGCGAUACUAUAUUCUGGU